CCUACGGGUGGCAGCAGUGAGGAAUAUUGGUCAAUGGACGAGAGUCUGAACCAGCCAAGUAGCGUGAAGGAUGACUGCCCUAUGGGUUGUAAACUUCUUUUAUAUGGGAAUAAAAUGUUCCACGUGUGGGAUUUUGUAUGUACCAUAUGAAUAAGGCUUGGCUAACUCCGUGCCAGCAGCCGCGGUAAUACGGAGGAUCCGAGCGUUAUCCGGCUUUAUUGGGUUUAAUGGGAGCGUAGGUGGAUUGUUAAGUCAGUUGGGAAAGUUUGCGGCUCAAACGUAAAAUUGCAGUUGAAACUGGCAGUCUUGAGUACAGUAGAGGUGGGCGGAAUUCGUGGUGUAGCGGUGAAAUGCUUAGAUAUCACGAAGAACUCCGAUUGCGAAGGCAGCUCACUGGACUGCAACUGACACUGAGGCUCGAAAGUGUGGGUAUCAAACAGGAUUAGAUACCCUUGUAGUC
rnacentral:rRNA from 1 species